rnacentral:rRNA from 1 species
GACGAACGCUGGCGGCGUGCUUAACACAUGCAAGUCGAACGAAGAGCGAUGGAAGCUUGCUUCUAUCAAUCUUAGUGGCGAACGGGUGAGUAACGCGUAAUCAACCUGCCCUUCAGAGGGGGACAACAGUUGGAAACGACUGCUAAUACCGCAUACGAUCUAAUCUCGGCAUCGAGGAUAGAUGAAAGGUGGCCUCUACAUGUAAGCUAUCACUGAAGGAAGGGAUUGCGUCUGAUUAGCUAGUUGGAGGGGUAACGGCCCACCAAGGCGAUGAUCAGUAGCCGGUCUGCGAGGAUGAACGGCCACAUUGGGACUGAGACACGGCCCAGACUCCUACGGGAGGCAGCAGUGGGGCAUCUUCCGCAAUGGACGAAAGUCUGACGGAGCAACGCCGCGUGAGCGAUGACGGCCUUCGGGUUGUAAAGCUCUGUUAAUCGGGACGAAAGGCCUUCUUGCGAAUAGUGAGAAGGAUUGACGGUACCGGAAUAGAAAGCCACGGCUAACUACGUG